rnacentral:rRNA from 1 species
GAUGAACGCUGGCGGCGUGCCUAAUACAUGCAAGUCGAGCGAACAGACGAGGAGCUUGCUCCUCUGACGUUAGCGGCGGACGGGUGAGUAACACGUGGAUAACCUACCUAUAAGACUGGGAUAACUUCGGGAAGCCGGAGCUAAUACCGGAUAAUAUAUUGAACCGCAUGGUUCAAUAGUGAAAGACGGUUUUGCUGUCACUUAUAGGUGGAUCCGCGCCGCAUUAGCUAGUUGGUAAGGUAACGGCUUACCAAGGCGACGAUGCGUAGCCGACCUGAGAGGGUGAUCGGCCACACUGGAACUGAGACACGGUCCAGACUCCUACGGGAGGCAGCAGUAGGGAAUCUUCCGCAAUGGGCGAAAGCCUGACGGAGCAACGCCGCGUGAGUGAUGAAGGUCUUCGGAUCGUAAAACUCUGUUAUUAGGGAAGAACAAAUGUGUAAGUAACUAUGCACGUCUUGACGGUACCUAAUCAGAAAGCCACGGCUAACUACGU